rnacentral:rRNA from 1 species
UGGGGAAUAUUGGACAAUGGGGGCAACCCUGAUCCAGCAAUUCUGUGUGCACGAUGAAGGUCUUCGGAUUGUAAAGUGCUUUCAGCAGGGAAGAAAAAAUGACGGUACCUGCAGAAGAAGCGACGGCUAAAUACGUGCCAGCAGCCGCGGUAAUACGUAUGUCGCGAGCGUUAUCCGGAAUUAUUGGGCAUAAAGGGCAUCUAGGCGGCCGGAUAAGUCUGGGGUGAAAACUUGCGGCUCAACCGCAAGCCUGCCCUGGAAACUAUGCGGCUAGAGUACUGGAGAGGUGGACGGAACUGCACGAGUAGAGGUGAAAUUCGUAGAUAUGUGCAGGAAUGCCGAUGAUGAAGAUAGUUCACUGGACGGUAACUGACGCUGAAGUGCGAAAGCUAGGGGAGCAAACA